rnacentral:rRNA from 1 species
GCGUGAGUGAAGAAGGCCCUAGGGUUGUAAAGCUCUUUCAGCGGGGAAGAUGAUGACGGUACCCGCAGAAGAAGCCCCGGCUAACUCCGUGCCAGCAGCCGCGGUAAUACGGAGGGGGCUAGCGUUGCUCGGAAUUACUGGGCGUAAAGGGCGCGUAGGCGGAUUUUUAAGUCAUGUGUGAAAGCCCCGGGCUCAACCCGGGAAUUGCGCUUGAUACUGGAAAUCUAGAGUUCUGGAGAGGGUGGUGGAAUUCCCAGUGUAGAGGUGAAAUUCGU